rnacentral:rRNA from 1 species
UACAGAGGGGGCAAGCGUUGUUCGGAAUUACUGGGCGUAAAGGGCGCGUAGGCGGCCCGCUAAGUCGAACGUGAAAUCCCCAGGCUCAACCUGGGAACUGCGUCCGAUACUGGCAGGCUUGAAUCCGGGAGAGGGAUGUGGAAUUCCAGGUGUAGCGGUGAAAUGCGUAGAUAUCUGGAGGAACACCGGUGGCGAAGGCGGCCAUCUGGACGGAUACUGACGCUGAGACGCGAAAGCGUGGGUAGCAAACAGG